CUGAGAGUAGAAUUGGGAUUAGGCUCAGGUCAGAGUUCGGACUAGAUCCAAAACAGUUUAGGCCAAGCUUGGGCCUAAUCAUAAAGCCCAUUCGUCUUUGGUGUUGAGCUCGGGUAUACCUUUGAACCAGUCUAAUCCUGGUCCGAGCCUGAGCCUAAAAUCCAGCCCGAUUAAGAGCCCAAUUGAGUAAGUCUCUUAUCCCAGUCC
rnacentral:lncRNA from 1 species